rnacentral:rRNA from 1 species
GUUUAUGGCCAUGCCACCCUGAACAAGCCCGAUCUCGUCGGAUCUCAGAAGCUAAGCAGGGUUGGGCCUUGUUAGUAUUUGGAUGGAAAACCACCUAGGAAGACCGGGUGCUGUAGGCA